CCGAGUACUAUAACUCAUAACCCUUUGUGAACCUUUAUACCUGUUGCUUCGGCGGCGCGUCCUCCGGGGCGUGCCCGCCGGUAUCAUCAGAAUCUCUGUUUGAACCCGACGAUACAUCUGAGUGUUCUAAGCGAACUGUUAAAACUUUCAACAACGGAUCUCUUGGCUCCAGCAUCGAUGAAGAACGCAGCGAAACGCGAUAAGUAAUGUGAAUUGCAGAAUUCAGUGAAUCAUCGAAUCUUUGAACGCACAUGGCGCCUUCCAGUAUCCUGGGAGGCAUGCCUGUCCGAGCGUCGUUUCAACCCUCGAGCCCCCGUGGCCCGGCGUUGGGGAUCUGCCCAGGCAGGCCCCGAAAACCAGUGGCGGACCCGUUACAGGCCCUUCCUUUGCGUAGUAAUACUGCCUCGCAUCGGGAGCCGGCGGGCUUUCAGCCUCUAAACCCCCAGCAAGUCCGCUUCGGCGGCACCAAGGUUGA
rnacentral:misc_RNA from 1 species